AUUGAACGCUGGCGGCAGGCCUAACACAUGCAAGUCGAACGGAGUGGCGGACGGGUGAGUAACGCGUAGGUAACUGCCUCAUAGCGGGGGAUAACUCUUGGAACCGAUGGCUAAUACCGCAUACUGUGCGAUGGACCUGCGUUGUAUUAGCUAGUUGGUGAGGUAAAGGGUCACCAAGGCGACGAUACAUAGCCGCACUGAGAUGGAGAUCGGACACACUGGGGAUGGGAAACGGGCCAGACUCCCACGGGGGGCAGCAGUAGGGAAUCUUCGGCAAUGGAGGGAAGUCUGAACGAGCAACGGCGGGGGAGUGAAGAAGGGUUUUGGAUCUGAAAGCUCUGUUGAUAGAGGAGCGGUAACUAACCAGAAAGGGACGGCUAACUACGUGCCAGCAGCCGCGGUAAUAC
rnacentral:rRNA from 1 species